AUUGAACGCUGGCGGCAUGCCUUACACAUGCAAGUCGAACGGCAGCACGGGGCAACCUGGUGGCGAGUGGCGAACGGGUGAGUAAUGCAUCGGAACGUACCUUUCAGUGGGGGAUAACGUAGCGAAAGUUACGCUAAUACCGCAUAUUCUGUGAGCAGGAAAGCAGGGGAUCGCAAGACCUUGCGCCGAUUGAGCGGCCGAUGUCAGAUUAGCUAGUUGGUGAGGUAAAGGCUCACCAAGGCGACGAUCUGCAGCGGGUCUGAGAGGAUGAUCCGCCAAACUGGAACUGAGACACGGUCCAGACUCCUACGGGAGGCAGCAGUGGGGAAUUUUGGACAAUGGGGGCAACCCUGAUCCAGCCAUGCCGCGUGAGUGAAGAAGGCCUUCGGGUUGUAAAGCUCUUUCGGCCGGGAAGAAAUCGCACGGGCUAAUACCCUGUGUGGAUGACGGUACCGGAAUAAGAAGCACCGGCUAACUACGUGCCAGCCGCCGCGGUAAUAC
rnacentral:rRNA from 1 species